UGAGACUUUUCAUAUUUCUACUGUUCUUGG
rnacentral:piRNA from 1 species